AUACAGAGGGUGCGAGCGUUAAUCGGAAUUACUGGGCGUAAAGCGCGCGUAGGCGGCUUAUUAAGUCAGAUGUGAAAUCCCCGGGCUCAACCUGGGAACUGCAUCUGAUACUGGUAAGCUAGAGUUUUGGAGAGGGAAGUAGAAUUUCAGGCGUAGCGGUGAAAUGCAUAGAGAUCUGAAGGAAUACCAGUGGCGAAGGCGACUUCCUGGCCAAAAACUGACGCUGAGGUGCGAAAGCGUGGGUAGCAAACGGGAUUAGAAACCCUAGUAGUCC
rnacentral:rRNA from 1 species